rnacentral:tRNA from 1 species
AUCCGGGGUGGCGCAGGUGGCAGCGCGCCGUUCCCGCAGGGCGGAGGCCGCGGGUUCGAAUCCCGCCCCCGGAUG